ensembl:snoRNA
AAGACUAUACUUUCAGGGAUCAUUUCUAUAGUUCGUUACUAGAGAAGUUUCUCUGACUGUGUAGAGCACCCGAGACCACGAGGACGAGACGUAGUGUUCCCUCCUGAGCGUGAAGCCGGCUCUAGGUGCUGCUUCUGUGCAGCCGCCUCCUGCCAUUGAUGAUCGUUCUUCUUCUCUCCCUCUGGGGGAGUGAGAGGGAGGGAGCGCAGUCUGAGUGGAC